CAGCAGCCGCGGUAAGACAGAGGAUGCAAGCGUUAUCCGGAAUGAUUGGGCGUAAAGCGUCUGUAGGUGGCUUUUCAAGUCCGCCGUCAAAUCCCAGGGCUCAACCCUGGACAGGCGGUGGAAACUACCAAGCUGGAGUACGGUAGUGGCAGAGGGAAUUUCCGGUGGAGCGGUGGAAUGCGCUGAGAUCGGAAAGAACACCAACGGCGAAAGCACUCUGCUGGGCCGACACUGACACUGAGAGACGAAAGCUAGGGGAGCAAAUGGGAUUAGGUACCCCAGUAGUCCCUGUCUCUUAUAA
rnacentral:rRNA from 1 species